AGAUUGAACGCUGGCGGCAUGCCUAACACAUGCAAGUCGAACGGGAGUAGCAAUACUCUAGUGGCGGACGGGUGAGGAAUACGUAGGAAUUUGCCCUUAAGUGGGGGAUAACCCGGGGAAACCCGGAUUAAUACCGCAUGACCUCGAAAGAGCAAAGUGGGGGAUCGCAAGACCUCACGCUUUUGGAGAAGCCUACGUCGGAUUAGCUAGUUGGUGAGGUAAUGGCUCACCAAGGCGACGAUCCGUAACUGGUCUGAGAGGAUGAUCAGUCACACCGGAACUGAGACACGGUCCGGACUCCGUACGGGAGGCAGCAGUGGGGAAUAGUUGGACAAGUGGGCGCAAGCCUGAUCCAGCAAUGCCGCGUGUGUGAAGGAAGGUCCGUUCGGUUAGUAAGCUACGUUUAAGUUAGGGAAA
rnacentral:rRNA from 1 species